GCAGGACAGAGGCCGGCGAGGGCCCAGGAACCGGGAUUUGCUGCGUAGAGGGAGCCGGAGCGUCGCCCCCUGGCAGCUGAGGAGCGGAUGUCGGGGACAGCCGGGAGCAGGAGGGAGAGGCCCGACAGGCGCCUUGCGCCUCUGAGGGUCCCGCUUCCGGACAGGGAUGCGCGGACGACGAUGGCUGAUGGGGACCCUGCUCUGCCCGGAGCCCCCUUGGCAGGGGCYGGUGGCCGAGCUGC